rnacentral:rRNA from 1 species
AACGAACGCUGGCGGCAGGCUUAACACAUGCAAGUCGAACGCAUCCUUCGGGGUGAGUGGCAGACGGGUGAGUAACGCGUGGGAACGUGCCCUUCAGUUCGGGAUAACCCAGGGAAACUUGGGCUAAUACCGGAUACGUGCGAGAGCAGAAAGAUUUAUCGCUGAAGGAUCGGCCCGCGUCGGAUUAGCUAGUUGGUGGGGUAAUGGCCCACCAAGGCGACGAUCAGUAGCUGGUCUGAGAGGAUGAUCAGCCACAUUGGGACUGAAACACGGCCCAAACUCCUACGGGAGGCAGCAGUGGGGAAUAUUGGACAAUGGGCGCAAGCCUGAUCCGGCCAUGCCGCGUGAGUGAUGAAGGCCUUAGGGUUGUAAAGCUCUUUCGUCCGGGACGAUAAUGACGGUACCGGAAGAAGAAGCCCCGGCUAACUUCGUGCCAGCCGCCGCCGUAA